CAGCGUCCGGUAGCUGGUCUGAGAGGAUGAGCAGCCCACACUGGGACUGAGACACGGCCCCAGACUCCUACGGGAGGCAGCAGUGGGGAAUUUUCCGCAAUGGGCGCAAGCCUGACGGAGCAACGCCGCGUGUGGGAAGAAGGCUCUUGGGCUGUCAACCACUUUUCUCAGGGAAGAAGAUCUGACGGUACCUGAGGAAUCAGCCUCGGCUAACUCCGUGCCAGCAGCCGCGGUAAUACGGAGGAGGCAAGCGUUAUCCGGAAUUAUUGGGCGUAAAGCGUCCGCAGGGGGCACAUCAAGUCUGCUGUUAAAGGCUGGAGCUUAACUCCGGUAGAGCAGUGGAAACUGGUGUGCUAGAGGGCGACAGGGGUAGAGGGAAUUCCCAGUGUAGCGGUGAAAUGCGUAGAGAUUGGGAAGAACACCGGUGGCGAAAGCGCUCUACUGGGUCGCACCUGACCCUCAGGGACGAAAGCUAAGGUAGCGAAAGGGAUUAGAUACCCCUGUAGUCUUAGCCGUAAAC
rnacentral:rRNA from 1 species